rnacentral:lncRNA from 1 species
CUGUUGCAAAGGUAGAGAGGGAGAAGUGACGAUGGUGAUCGUUGCUGCCGCGGCCGAUAUGGAACCCAAGCAGUGGCGAAGGGAAUCGCAAGGCUCUUCCCUGACCAUUUUCUACUGUCCCUGCGCGAGUCUGCUGCCGCUCCCGACUUUUCUCGCUGAGACACCGUCAGCUCACUCCGAGCCCAGCACAGCGGCCAUCUUCGGUAAAUUCUGGCAGCAGCCCGCCUGUUCAUUGUCCUGUGUGCCCAGAGGAAAGAACUACUCAUUUUUCGUGAUCAAGCUAGGGGAGGCAGGAGCAAUAAUGGCCCUGCUAUAGGACUGGCUUUUAUUUGAAUUCCAACUCUUCUGCCACCUUAACCAGCUGUAUCCAGAUUUUAAAAGUUAAUCUAUCCGAGCCUCUUAUUAAAUAUUAGGUUGAUGAGAUGAUGCAUGCAAAGCGCUUAGAACAGUACUAGGCAUAAAGCGUCCGACAUAAAGGUUAAGUAAAAGUAAGGAAAAGCUAUGGGGAUGUAUUGAGUAUCUCUUUGCCCAAUGACGUAUUAGUCGUAUUAAAUAUGGAAAGUGCCUUUGAUUCUCCGUGCCCAUGGGAGAAGGCAUAGGAAUGGCCUUUUCCCACCUGUAAUCAGAGAGCAGGUGUUUCAAGAACGCCUCAAUAUGUUUGCGAUCUCUCACGCAGCCUUUCAGGCUCCUAAUUCCUACGAAGUUUCCGCUUUUAUUCAAAUUGGCUCACUCCUUUUUGCAGGGCUUUGUACUGAAUGAGUAUUCUUUUAAGGGUGGUGGACAAGCAAAGGUUUGGUAGCAUCACAUUUUUAAUUUCACAGGGAAAAUGGAUAUGAAACAUCUUCCCAAGUACAUCUUAGACUGCCAGCUGACAGCAAGCCAUAAUGCUCCCCAGCUCUUGGGCCCUACACCCCCUCUCCCCCAUCCCCGCUUUAGUUCUUUGUCAUUGCUCAUGGACAGCUGGUUUGGGGACCAGGUGCAGAUGAUGGGAGGUGUCUGAAAAACAGCAAGUGAGAAAUGCUAGUUUUGUUGUUUUAAGUUGCACUGAUGACUCUAGUAGUUAUCUGUGCUGCUUGUGAUAAUUUAUAAGGCAAUGAUAACGAAUUAAACAUACAAAAGAUUAUUAUCUUCCACAGGAAAAAAAAACCUGCAAACUUGUGACACCAUUUAUGAUCCACUUAGUCUUGAGAUACUGAGUAAUAGAACUUUCUCCUUUUAGGCUGAGUUGUGAACUUGAGUUUGGUUUCUUUCUGCAAUCCCUGCAGGGCCAUAAAUUCUUGGCCCUUAAGACUGGGUGGCCCAUAACAGACUCAGUGAUACCAUCAGUAACCACAAUUCACACUGGAGUCAAGUUAUCUGAUUCCCACACCAGUUGGAGAACUGGAGAUUCCUUAGAACUUUUAACUGUCAUGUUUUCAAAGUUGACAUGGAAAAUUUUACAUGAAGCUUAAAAAUACAACUAAUCUGUGGUGAUAGAGACGAGAAGAGUUAAGCUCUAAAAUUAGAAGAGCAGUUCGUUUUGAGGCAGCACUGAUUGGGAGGGAGCAUGGAGUAUAUAAUUACACAUUUCUAUAUAAUGUAAAAAUGUAUCUAUAGAUUUAAGAUUUAUGCAUUUUAUGUAAAUUUUACUACAAUAAAACGAAAAUGAAGACAUCAUAGUUUAAUCAAAUAUUG